rfam:Erinaceus europaeus unplaced genomic scaffold scaffold01081, whole genome shotgun sequence
GGAUGUGAGAGUGAUCUGGCUGCAACAUCUGUCACCCCAGUGAUUGCCAGGAUUGAUUCAGCUGAUCUCUGCUAGGUGGGUGGUCCUCUUCCGCUCUCACUGCCAUGUGCUUCCCUCCUGAAGCUGUGUGCUCAGUGGAAGAAGAGGGCCUUCCCUGAAUAGAGACGACUGGUCUUUAGUAGAGAGUAUAUGGGUAGCUGUGUUCUCCUGCUAGAACCUCCAAACAAGCUCACAAAUCGCUAGCAGCAUAACAAGGGAUUAACAGUCACUGUGCUUCACUUCAGGGCUUGAGGU